rnacentral:rRNA from 1 species
AGAAUCAACGCUGGCGGCGUGCCUAACACAUGCAAGUCGAACGAGAAAGUGGAGCAAUCCAUGAGUAAAGUGGCGACCGGGUGAGUAACACGUGACUAACCUACCCUCGAGUGGGGAAUAACAUCGGGAAACCGAUGCUAAUACCGCAUAACAUCGCAAGAUCAAAGCAGAAAUGCGCUUGAGGAGGGGGUCGCGGCUGAUUAGCUAGUUGGUAGGGUAAUGGCCUACCAAGGCUUAGAUCGGUAGCCGGCCUGAGAGGGCGCACGGCCACACUGGAACUGAAACACGGUCCAGACUCCUACGGGAGGCAGCAGUGGGGAAUUUUGCGCAAUGGGGGAAACCCUGACGCAGCAACGCCGCGUGGAGGAUGAAGUCCCUUGGGACGUAAACUCCUUUCGACCGGGACGAUACUGACGGUACCGGAAGAAGAAGCACCGGCUAACUCUGCGCCAGCAGCCGC